UUUGACCUCAAAUCAGGUAGGACUACCCG
rnacentral:ncRNA from 4 species